UUGGUUAAGAAGUAUCUGAAAAGAAAACUGGGUAUUUCUGUUCCAUUUCUCUAAUAGCAAAGAAAACAAAGACUGGGAAAAUCUGAUAAUGCCCAUUUCAACAUGACCUGGGAGGGAAUCCAAGAAAGCAAGCAAAUAAAUAAAUCACUUACUAUUAUGAAGCGUGGAAAGCACAGUGAUCUCCGACCUAAGCAAGGAAAUAAUCACUAUUCAUAUAGUGCUUUAAAAACACAGUUAUUAAAGGAGACCUGUGGAAACUUAUUCUGGAUGUAGCAGAUGAACUUAAUUCCCGCAGCUGAUUGCAUCCUGGCAACCGUAAGUGGCAAUGCUCUGGGUUAAAAGGCAAUGUGACUUUUGGCCUAGAAGAGACAGGGAUCAUUGUGCGAACUGUCUCCACCCCUUUGUCUUAGUUCCCUCCCAGACUGAGCACAGGGCCUGCUGGUUCCACCCCAAAUCCAGAGUUGGAGUAGAGAGAUUAGAUUGAACACUGACAUCAUGAAGUUGAAAUUAUUUUCUAGAAGCAGUGUCUGUUGGCCUCUGGGGAUGCUGAAACCUCCUCUGCCUACUGUGGUAACCAGGUCCUAAUCCCCGGAACCUGUGGAUAUGAUACCUUACAUAGCAAAUGUGACGAAGAACCUUGAGAUGUUAGCCUGGAUUCUCCAGGUGGGUCCAAUGUAAUUGCAAGCGUCUUUACAAGUGAAAGUGAGAGACAGGUGAAUCAAGGUGACUCGAAGAUUCUACACCGCUGGCUUUGAAAAUGGAGGAAGGGACUGCAAGCCGAGGAAUGCGGGCAGCCUCUAGAAGCUGGAAAAGGCAAGGAAAUAGAUUCUGGCCUAGAGUCUCCAGAAGGAGCACAGCCGUACUGACCCAUUUUAGAUGUCUGACUUCCAGAACUAUGAGAUAAUAAAUGAUAGUUAAGACUGAAAGAACUAAGAAGGCACUACUGCGUUCUUGUUCCGCAACCAGGCAACCCCAAACUGGGGUCCUCAGCAGUGAGCCAGGGGGUAAGAAGACACUGUAUAAACAUGGCGCAUCUUCUGGGAAAGUCAACUUUACUCAAAGGUUCUCACACACAGUGACAGCUAGCAGCGUCCAAAGUGCUGACAUGAUGACUUAGAGAUGUGAUAAAGAGAAAC